GGCGUGUCCAAAGGUAGUGAGUUAUCUCAAUUGAUUGUUCACAGUCAGUUACAGAUCGAACUCCUCAUUCUACUCUUUCCCUCUUCUCACUACUGCACUUGACCAGUCUUUC
ensembl:Y_RNA Y_RNA Y RNA